rnacentral:other from 1 species
AAUUCCCUGCUUUGUGCGUGAUGGUCGGAGUGUCGUCUGGGCCGAUGUCUUUCAACACAAAGUGAGCUGCGAUCCCGCGUGGUGUGCAUGCCUCCGUGGUGAGGAAGCCUGAAGCGCGGUUUCUAUAGCGGCUCCACCUGCUAUGCAGGUCCGCUCGACCUUCCCACACGGCAAAGCGGGGAUUUG